UUACGGCUAUAUCACGUUGAAACACCGAUUCGCGUACGGUCAGCGAAGUUAAGCAACGUUGAUUCUAGUCAGUACCUAAAUGUGUGAUUGCAUGGGAAUACCAUGUGCUGAA